GCAAAAGCUCAAAUUUGAAAUCGGCGUUUGUCGAGUUGUAAUUUGUAGACUCWWUUUUUGAGACGACCUUGCUCAAGUUCUCUGGAACGAGACAUCAUGGAGGGUGAGAAUCCCGUGAUGCAGGGCCYCCGUCUCUUUGUAAAUUUGGGUCGACGAGUCGAGUUGUUUGGGAAUGCAGCUCUAAGUGGGUGGUAAAUUCCAUCUAAAGCUAAAUAUUUGCGAGAGACCGAUAGCGAACAAGUACUGUGAAGGAAAGAUGAAAAGAACUUUGAAAAGAGAGUGAAAUAGUAUGUGAAAUUGUUGAAAUGGAAGGGCUUUAGGUUAGACAUGGUUGGCUGUGUUCCAUUCUCUCUUGGGAGGRUGUACUCGCAGCUACUGGGCUAGCAUCAGUUUUGGGUCGAGGAC
rnacentral:rRNA from 1 species